rnacentral:lncRNA from 1 species
GAUAAGUGGUAUUUAUACACACUUAUAGGCCUUCAUUUCCACUUAAAUUGGUUGGUUGUACUUAAGUGUUUAGUGUCUUUUAAUGUGUUUUUAGUGUUUUUCUGUGCAGGUCACGAGUUGAGGUGAUGAAGUGAUUUUCUAUCAUUUUAGGUUGGUUUUGGUGCAUUAUUUGCAAGAAUAGAGAAUUGUGGAUUCAUCGCGACUUGGGAUUUUGUGGGUACAUCUUCUACAAACCCUCACGAGAGCACACUCGUCCACUAGAGCUAUCUAGGGGUUUAAAGGGCUUGUUGCAUAUGCUAAAUGCAACCGUGAUCACCUACGGAAGUGGUACUAGAAGCGAGGAAGGACAUGCACGCGAGAACGAGCGAGAAACGAAGAAACGGGAGUGCCAUCACAGACACUAGCGCGCCCGCGCUAACCUGUAGCGCGCCCGCGCUACAGUCUGCUACAUCUAGCGCGCCCGCGCUAGAGUAGCGCGGUGGCGCCCCACAGAAACUUCCCGGGCCGAUUUUUACAGCUUUUCUGAUGGAUUUUCGCAGCGGUCGAGGCCCGGUUGACUUAGUCAAUGCAUUUUAUUUCUCGUGUGUAAAAAACCCUAGCCUCAUAGUAGUUAGAAGAUCGAAACGAUUUCAUAGUUAGUUUUCUCUUGUAAUCGAAGCACAUUAUCAGUUUGUAUUAGAUCGUUCUUUGCGAGGAAGUGACAGUUUCGAGCAAGAUCGUGAACAUCAAAUCUGUAACGUGUGAUCCUUAUUAUUAUUAAUUCAAGCAUUUUUAUUCCAUUCAAUUCUUGUCUUUUCUUUAUAAUGUUUUCAUUAGAACCCAUGAUGUCGAUUAGUUCGAUUAUGAACUAACCGCCUUCAUGGGAUUCUAAUGGAUUUAUCGAUGUAGUCUAGUAACGAAUAUUAAUUACUUGAUUUUGUGACGUACGUUGAUUUCUUUGCAUGAGCCGUGCUUAUUCUUCUUAGGAGCGUAGCUAACUUCUAAGUUGUUUGUUAAUUCUUUCUGAAGCGAGAGUGGAUGAUUGAAUUUAGAACUAUGCCAUGUAAACAUAGGAUUAUGUGAAUGAAACAUAAUUUGUGGUAGACUUGAACUAUUUUUAUCACCCUGUGUAAUCACGAUAGACGACUUGUUAUUAAACCUCUCUGCUUACACUACCGCUAUAGAGAUAUAGGGUCUGAGCUUUGUUGGUGUCCAUGAGAUUUCUGUCUUAAUUGUGGAUUUUGAUUGGUAUGAUAUGUGUGCAACGAGAGUUGGCAUGUAUUACUUUCGUGUUGUCUGAUUAGGAUCAACAGUCGCAUGUUAAUCAGUAAUUUCAAUUCUAGAUGAAUUCGAUAAUGAAGUUAGAAUCCCAUGUGUUUUCCUAUUCUGAAUUUGAUUAGUAAUUUUAAUUAUUAGUAUAAAAGAAACCAAUCCUUGUUAAUUGUCUUAGCAGUGAUAAUUGAUCAUACAUUGUUGCAUAGGUGCGUAUUCUUAAUUCACCAGUCUCUGUGGGAUCGAACUUAAUAUAUUACUUGUGAUCACGUGCGCUUGCGUGUAGAUUUCACCGAACAAGUUUUUGGCGCCGCUGCCGGGGACUCGGUGUUAAUUAAUUAGUUUAUGUACUUGUCAUCAGUGUGCAUUAAAAUUCACUGACUAGGAUUCUAUUCUCUUCUCACUUUUCUUCUUUUCUUUAUUUCAGGUGCUUGGAUCGCGUUUAUGCAAACACAUUCUCAAACCAGUAAGGAAGCAAUGGAUUCAUCUUCUUUCUCUGAUUCUGAAACAAUGAAUUAUGCAAGGACAGCAGUUGGUGAGGCGUCACGUGAAUUUUCUCGUUUGAACAUCAAUGAUAAUCAGGCUGACACAAUUGAACCAGCAAUAUCAGCCAGUGGCAUUCGCAUCAAACCAUCAAUCAUUCUCAAGCUGCAAGAUACCAUUCAAUUUGGGGGUUCUGUUCUUGAGGACCCAAACCUACAUCUAAGGAAUUUCGAGAAAUUCAUUACUGCAUUGGAUUUCAAUAUCGGACCUAAAGAUCUAGUGAAGCUAAGACUCUUUCCAUUCACGCUACGUGAUGUAGCACGAUCGUGGUUUAUCUCUCUCUCGGCAAGCACUACUAAUAGCUGGAACAAGUUGGAGAAAAUAUUCUGUACAAGGUUUUAUCCUCUAAUCAAAGUAUCAGCUAUCAAAAACACUGAAGGCAAAUUCUCUCAAUUCUCGGGAGAAUAUCUUUGCCUAGCUUGGGACCGAUUCAAGAAGAUUCUCGAAAAUCUCAAGGAAGAUGACAUGCCUCCGGGAAUGGCAAUUAAUUACUUCUACAGGGGUCUUAACAGUCAAUGUAGAGCAGAGUUAGACGUGGCAGCUGGAGGAAGUUUGUGGAACAAAAGCUUCGAUGAUGCUUACGAACUGAUAGAGAACCUAGCCGCUGCUGAGCACAAAGAUCUAAAGUGGAAGAUUCCAAAAGAGGAAGAAUCGGAGGAGGAUGAAGCGGUCGAAGUCACUCAGGAAGUCCAGAUGACUAAUUGGCACAGAAUCAGAGCUCACUCAGACUCAAACUUUAAUGCAUGUGGAGACACUUGUCCUCUACUCUCGGCCAAUGCAAGUAACCAAUCCGUAAUUCAAACACCUGCUGUUUCAACACUGAAUGAAGCACAGUACCGAAGAAUAAUCAGGCGUAUUGUCGUGUUGGAGGAACGAAUUGGUCGCUUUGCUGAUAUACUAACAGACUCUCUUGCUGAAGCAUUCUUGGCACUAGAUGUUAAUAUUACUUGGGAUUCGUUUGGUUAUGGAACGAGGUAUCCUCCACAGGAUACUUCAUCGGAAUCGGAUUAAUUCUGGACUUCACGUCGAGCUAACGACGUUAAACAAGCGCUUCGUGGGAGGCAACCCACGCAUUGGAACCACAUUGUACCAUUGUAAACCUCAAAAACACAAAAAUCGAAAAAAUUCAGCCUCCGGUGUCAGACACUAGCGCGCCCGCGCUAGUGUCAGCGCGCCCGCGCUAAGUUGCACAGCGCGCCCGCGCUAUACUUAGCGCGGCCGCGCUACUGACUGCCGAGACAGGCGAUUUUUCUCCCAAAAAUAUUUUCUUUUCGUUUUUAAAAGCCCACAAUCCUAAUUUUGCAUGCCUAGCCCGAAAUAUAUCCUCCAUAACCCUAACUCAGCUCUCAAAAUCCUAUAUAAACACAAAACCCAUCUCCAAUUCCUAUUCUAAUUCUAUAAACCCUACUUAUAUAUAUACACAUCCAUACACACAACCACCAUCAAAUCUCUCAAACCCACUACACACAAAUCUCUUGCAACUCUAAAUCUCUACCAAUGGCACCCAAAAGAGCCCGAAGAUCACAAGGACCAAGCACCCAAGCCCCUACAUCUAGCGAUUCUUCCUCGAUGGGUGAGGUUGAGUUCACCUCCGAUGGUGCACGAACCGAGUUUCAACGGCUUAUGAAUAAGUCGUUAGUUAAGGAGAGGGGAUUCUUACCCACGGCGGAAGAUGGUGAGCUCUUGAACAUGAUUCAAGAACGGGGUUGGGAGUCUUUUUGCGAGGCUCCGGAGGCGGUUCCCUUGGCUAUUAUUCGAGAGUUUUAUGCUAAUGCCAAGGAGAAUCGCGAUGGAUUCACGGUGGUGCGGGGAAUCCGUGUGGAUUAUAGUGCGGAGGCGAUCCGUAGAGUGAUUGGGGGGCGUGCCAAGCGCCGUAAUGAAGAAGAUUGGGUUGUUGAGAGGAUCGGGCGUGCUAAACGCCGGUUUGAUGAUGAUCCGGUUGAUCUUGAGCGGUUGGUGUAUGAUAUGUGUGUGCCGGACACGACUUGGAAGAUGACUGCACCUCCUUUGCCGGCACAUGUUUCGUUUCCAGCAGCCGCGUUGAACCGGUAUGCGAAGGCGUGGAACGCCUUCAUCUGUGCUAACAUCAUGCCAUCUUCACAUGGGCAUGAGGUGACAGUGGAUAGAGCUAUUCUGCUCUUUGGGAUUGUCUCGGGCAAGUAUAUUGAUCUGGGACAUGUUAUUCAUCAGGGAAUUCUGAGGUUCUUACGGGGAGGAACCACUGGUGCCAUUCCAUAUGGCACAAUUGUGACGAAGCUCUGUCGAUCGAGCGGUGUUCGUUGGCCAUCCAACGAGCAAUUACAGUUGCCAGGGACACCUAUUGAUCAUUCGGCGAUCAGUCGGAUGACGGAGUGGGAAGGAGGAGUUCCCCACCCUCGAGGUCUCGGGUACUUAUAUGAUGAGAUGCCAGGGGGACGUCCCGAGUUUGUUAGGAGGGAGCAGCCUAGAGCUUCUGGAGCUGGUACGUCGCAGACAGAGAGGAGCUCCGAACCGAUGGGAGAUGUUCAUUAUCGCCGCCUAGCGAGGCGGAUGGACGCCAUGCAUGACAUCCACCAGAGGUUUGCUUUUGAUUUGACACAGGCUUUAGGCAGUGCUUUUCAGGCACAAGGGGUCACAGNNNNNNNNNNNNNNNNNNNNNNNNNNNNNNNNNNNNNNNNNNNNNNNNNNNNNNNNNNNNNNNNNNNNNNNNNNNNNNNNNNNNNNNNNNNNNNNNNNNNNNNNNNNNNNNNNNNNNNNNNNNNNNNNNNNNNNNNNNNNNNNNNNNNNNNNNNNNNNNNNNNNNNNNNNNNNNNNNNNNNNNNNNNNNNGUAUUCAUUAGAACCCAUGAUGUCGAUUAGUUCGAUUAUGAACUAACCGCCUUCAUGGGAUUCUAAGGGAUUUAUCGAUGUAGUCUAGUAACGAAUAUUAAUUACUUGAUUUUGUGACAUAUGUUGAUUUCUUUGCAUGAGCCGUGCUUAUUCUUCUUAGGAGCGUAGCUAACUUCUAAGUUGUUUGUUAAUUCUUUCUGAAGCGAGAGUGGAUGAUUGAAUUUAGAACUAUGCCAUGUAAACAUAGGAUUAUGUGAAUGAAACAUAAUUUGUGAUAGACUUGAACUAUUUUUAUCACCCUGUGUAAUCACGAUAGAUGACUUGUUAUUUAAACCUCUCUGCUUACACUACCGCUAUAGAGAUAUAGGGUCUGAGCUUUGUUGGUGUCCAUGAGAUUUCUGUCUUAAUUGCGGAUUUUGAUUGGUAUGAUAUGUGUGCAACGAGAGUUGGCAUGUAUUACUUUCGUGUUGUCUGAUUAGGAUCAACAGUCGCAUGUUAAUCAGUAAUUUCAAUUCUAGAUGAAUUCGAUAAUGAAAUUAGAAUCCCAUGUGUUUUCCUAUUCUGAAUUUGAUUAGUAAUUUUAGUUAUUAGUAUAAAAGAAACCAAUCCUUGUUAAUUGUCUUAGCAGUGAUAAUUGAUCAUACAUUGUUGCAUAGGUGCGUAUUCUUAAUUCACCAGUCUCUGUGGGAUCGAACUUAAUAUAUUACUUGUGAUCACGUGCGCUUGCGUGUAGAUUUCACCGAACAGCCAUGCACCUCUUGCUAAACUCAGGUACAUCCCUUCUCUAAAAUCAAAACUGUUGCCUACUGAUAAAGUCUUAAUCACCUGUCCAAUGUCGAAAUUUACCAAACUACCUUUUCAAUUGAGCCAAUCACAUGCCACUGAGAAGUUUGCCUUGAUUCAUGUUGACACUUGGGGGCCGUAUAAAGUGGCAACCCGAGGCAAAUACAAACAUUUUUUGACAAUAGUUGAUGACUAUUCUCGUGUUACAUGGGUGAAUAUACUGCAAUUUAAAUCUGAUUAUCUGUCAACUAUGAAGUCAUUCUAUAACCAUGUGCAAGUUCGCUUCAAAUCUGACAUUCAGACCAUCAGAUCAGACAAUGCAGGCGAGUUUACUGAUGCUAGUUGCAAAGAAUUUUAUGCUGCAAAAGGGAUCACACAUCAGACUUCCUGUGUCAAUCGUCCUCAACAAAAUGCUCGUGUCGAGAGGAGGCACAGAUAUGUACUUGAAGUGGCCAGAUGCUUGCGUUUUCAGGCUGGCCUGCAACUGUCUUUCUGGGGAGAGUGCGUUCUUGCAGCAGUGUACAUCAUCAAUCGUUUGCCAACUCCAACAUUGGAAAACAAAACACCAUAUGAAACUCUUUUUGAGGAGCCUGUUGAUUAUGACAAAGUCAAAGUUUUUGGGUGCUUGGCGUUUGCAGCUAACCCAGCAAAUAUUGGUGAUAAAUUUGGGCCAAGGAGAGUACCUUGUGUCUUUGUUGGCUACCCAUUUUCUCAAAAAGGGUACACACUCCUCAAUUUGACCACUAUGCAGACAUUUGUCUCUCGUGAUGCGGUGUUUCACAAAUCCGUCUUCUCUCUUAACAAUGCAACUGCAGAUUCAUACAUACAACCCACUCCGGUUGUAAUGCCUAACUCUACUGCAGGUCAGUAUACUUAUGAUGAUAUUGUGGUUAGUGAAGACACAUCUGAUGCGAACACUGAAAAUCACGCCUCUUCUUCUGCACAAAUUCCACUUAGACACUCUUUAAGAGUUGCUAAAAAACCAGCUUGGUUGGCAGAUUAUGUCCACAAUGUGCAGUCUUCUAAUGUGGUGGAAGUUGUUGAUCUGCCCAUCGAGAAUCAGUUUCAGUGUUUCUCAGCAACUGUUUCCACCAACACUGAUCCUGUUCACUUCAAGAAAGCUCUCCAGCAUCCUCAUUGGAUGGAGGCGAUGAACAGUGAGCUCACAGCCCUCGAAGAAAAUGAAACAUGGGCUGUCACCACUCUUCCUCCUGGUAAAAAGUCGAUUGGAUGUCGAUGGGUCUUCAAGACUAAGUAUAAUCCCGAUGGCUCCAUUGAACGCUACAAAGCAAGAUUGGUUGUGCUGGGCAACAAACAGAUUUAUGGCAUUGAUUAUGCCGAAACUUUCGCUCCUGUUGCGAAGCUGACUACUGUGCGAAUUUUAUUUGCUGUGGCUGCAAUUCAAAACUGGACUACAGUGCAAAUGGACGUCUCUAACGCGAUCCUAAAUGGUGACCUUGAUGAAGUUGUGUAUAUGAAGCUUCGACAAGGAUAUACAGGCUAUGGUUUCAGAAUUUCCUCACUUACUCUGUCUACACUCGAUCCUGCUACUGUCAACUUGGUGUGUCUCCUUCUAAAAUCACUCUACGGGCUGAGGCAGGCCCCUCGACAGUGGUUUAACAAACUCUCAGAAGUGUUAUUGAGUCUUGGAUACACGCAAUCAAAGAUCGACUACAGUCUCUUUACUAAAAUCUCUGGUACAUCCAUCACCCUUGUACUAGUCUACGUUGAUGAUUUGCUGAUUUUUGGUAAUACAACUGCUGAGAUUGAAUAUCUCAAAGUCAUGCUGGCUAAAAAAUUUCAUAUGAAAGAUCUUGGUCCGGUUAGCUACUUUCUUGGGUUGGAAAUUACUCGUACUCAAGCUGGAUUCUUCAUCUCUCAGAAAAAAUAUGCAUUGGACCUUCUUAAAGAAUUUGGCAUGGAAUCUGCUUCGCCCCUGAAACUGCCCAUGGAUUCCCACAUCAAACUUACACCUACUACUGGUUCGCCUCUUUCAGACCCUCACCAAUAUCAACGACUGGUUGGCAAGCUCAUUUACUUGACCGUUACUUGCCCCGAUAUCACCUUCCCUGUUCACAUAUUAAGCAAGUUCAUGCAUCAGCCUACAAGUGCACACAUGCAAACUGCCAAGAAACUUCUUCGCUAUCUGGUUGGAAACCCAGCACAAGAGAUUCUGUUAGCAUCUUCAUCUUCAGUUUCUAUUCAUGCCUACUCAGAUAGUGACUGGGCAAAUUGUCCCGUCACGCGCCGCUCUACUUCGGGUUUUUGCUUGGUUUUGGGUGACUCACCAAUUAGUUGGAAAACGAAGAAGCAAAACGUCGUAGCUCGCUCCACAGCUAAAGCGGAAUAUCGCUCCAUGGCCUUGACAGCGUGUGAAAUUGAUAAGUGGUAUUUAUACGCACUUAUAGGCCUUCAUUUCUACUUAAAUUGGUUGGUUGUACUUAAGUGUUUAGUGUCUUUUGAUGUGUUUUUAUUGUUUUUCUGUGCAGGUCACGAGUUGAGGUGAUGAAGUGAUUUUCUAUCAUUUUAGGUUGGUUUUGGUGCAUUAUUUGCAAGAAUAGAGAAUUGUGGAUUCAUCACGACUUGGGAUUUUGUGGGUACAUCUUCUACAAACCCUCACGAGAACACACUCGUCCACUAGAGCUAUCUAGGGGUUUAAAGGGCUUGUUGCAUGUGCUAAAUGCAACCGUGAUCACCUACGGAAGUGGUACUAGAGCGAGGAAGGGCAUGCACGCGAGAACGAGC